UCCAGGUGCAUUAUCAAGGCUAUAAAUGCAUUUUCCACGACGAGCUUGAGUGAACUCCAUGGAAAAAAAUUGCUUGUUGAUCUUCCUUGUUAUCCAUGGCAGAGUACUUACAGUCCUAUAGAAGAAGCAGGGGAUUUUUUCGAAACAGAGAUGGCCAAUUAAGCAGCCAUCCUGAUCACUCUUUUUCAUGUAUCUCUAUUGAAGAUUUCUCUGACGUUUCUUCUUCUAUCCCAUUUUCCCCAGUUAUACAUGUUGAUGAGCCUCCAAGUUUCCCUAUUCUUGUUGACGAUUCGCCCGUCACUAUGUUCCGGCCAGUGGAGCAGAAAUGUUCCCUAAUUUCGGAGUCUGAUAUUACUUUAGAUGACCCAGUAUUGAUGGUGAAUGAAAUUGAGGAUAUUAGCGACUGGUUGGCAAGUGAGAGCAGACUACCUGCUCUACAUAACUUUCCAGGAGAUGAUGCAGGGAGCCUCUUGAGGGAGGUAUCUAUAGGCACGCUGAUGAAUCAAAUAUCCUUGAUUCUGCCUGGUAUUGGGAUGGAAUUUGAUAACCAAUUGAGCAUUCUCCAUCUGCUUAAGGCUUAUGGAGAGGCUGAGGAGAUGGAGACGAAAGAGUUGGCUGGAAAAAUUAUGAGUCAGUUAAAAGAGAAGGCUUGUCCUUUUGGUUCAACUGUCGAGCGACUUGCUUAUUAUAUGAUUCAAGCACUGGAAGGGGAAGUGGACUUUCUAUGGAAAUAAGCGAGCAAGAAUUAUGAGGCUGCAUUUAAAACAUUCUAUCAGAUAUUUCCUUAUGGAAGGUUUGCUCACUUCACAGCCAAUUCUGUAAUACUAGAAGCCCUCCCUGAAGAUGCUGACAUAGUGCACAUAGUUGAUUUUGACGUUGGUCAAGGUGUGCAAUGGCCUCCAAUGAUUGAGGAUCUUGCCAGGUGAAGAAAAAGAAUGGUGAGAUUGAUUGGAAUAAAAUGGCAGGAGGAAGAGGAUCUUAGCGGUGUUACUUCCACGAGGAGGUCUGAGGAGAUGAAAACUCGCCUAUAUGAACAUGCAAAAACUUUUGGUUUGAGAUUGAAAAUGAAGGAGAUGGAUAAGGAGGCCUUAGUUACUGAGAUGAAGAAGACAAAGAAAAGAGGGAUAAGAAGUGAAUGGUUAGCCUUCAAUUGCGCGGUGGGUCUCCCUCAGAUGGGGAAAGGGAAGAGUGCUAGUAGUCUUGUGGAGUUUCUAAGGUUAGCUAAGGAUUCAAUCCGCCUCGAUGGUGAAGGUGUUAGUGGUACCAGGGGAAUUAUAACUAUUGCCAGAGAAAGCAAGGCACUCUCAGAGGUAGGCUUGCAGGCUUGGAGAAUGAGGGAAGAUAGUCUUAUGGAGGCCAAAGAAUUGAUCAGAGAAACAGAAAGCUUCUACUGUGCGGCCAUUGAAGGAGUGAAGGAGAACCAACUGGUUCUGAGCUAUAUGGGAAUUCCACUGGUGAAGGUUUCAAGUUGGACAUAAAUGGAGGAGUACUUACUCAGAGGACACAGGCAAAGACAAUCAAUGGCGAAUUUUCUCGGUGCAAAUAAUCGGUUGCAGCAGCAGCAUUGCAAUGUUCAUCAAACAUAAGCUAUCGCACAUAACUUUUUGUUGGCCAAUUUGCGCAGACAUAUCCUGGACGAUUUAAAGAUCCAAUCAGGCUACGGGUACCUGGACAAAUGUGGCAUCAAAAGUAAUUUGAAGAGUAAAUUAUAAAUUAGUCCUUGUAGUUUUGUAAAAUAAUUAAAUAGUCCCUCUAACUUUAAAAAUAAUUAAUUAAUCCAUAUAUCUUUAAAUCUAUUUCGAACUUGGUCUAUUUCACCCAUUUCAUGUUUUUAUGAUUAGUUUUGUUGUUUAAGAAAAACAUAUAAUAUGGAAAGAUUGAUAAAAAAAAGAAAG